rnacentral:lncRNA from 1 species
CGCGCGCUCCCCUGUCCCACAACUCCCUUGGUGAGGGGAGGCCCAGGGUCGUUAAACUACAAGUCCCAGCAUGCAGCGCGAGCCGCUCUCCUCAACCCAGUCACGUGCCGAGGCCCGUCUUGGAGACUGCGAGUCCCGGCAUGCAACGCGGAUAUCCGGGAGCUGCGGGCCCAGCAUGCCGUUCGCUAUCCGAGGGCAUCUCCCUCAUCGUCUCUCUCCGUCGGGAGCCAGUGCGCACGGUGCCCUGUUUGCGUCCGGGAGCUCCAAGCCUGGAGAACACGGUGGACACCUCAGUCUCGGGCUGCGCAGACCUGUCCUCUGGGUUUCAGCGUUUGUCCCCGGGACCUGCUGCUCCGAGGCCGUGCAGAUGCGGGGCGUCCUGUUCCGACCCAGCUCUUCAGGUGCAGAUUUGGGAUAUGAGACUUCCUUAAAUGAAGUCUCCCGGAGCAGUGAGAACCGACUUUGCUCACAACUCGCGUCACCACGGGCAUUUCUCCUCCGAAAGCAACAGCCAGACCGGAACCCACCGUCGGCGCGUAGGGUGACGGAUCGCAGGGCCUCGCGGCUCCUGUUCCGCCUGCUUAUGAUUUUAGUACAAGCUGCCGUUGGGACUCUUCAUUUGUAUUAUACUGUACCGCCAGAGGAAAUCGCAUCUACAAAAGUCAACUUACAGUUAUUUUCCAGGAUUGUGGAAAAAUAUUCCGACAUAUCUCCAGAUGACUUGCAUUCCAGACAAGUCCUGUCAGCUGCGCCGUCAUCGAAAAACCUCCCUGGCGGCUGGAGCGGAGGACACGGUCUCUGUCGCGCUGACUGCAUCGGUCCCGUAAGAUUUUCCACAUCACGCAGACGCAGUGCCGACCGCUGUCACCGCCACCACGAUGUCUCCAUUAUGCAUUGUUGUUGUUCUGAAAUUCAAACCUAA